AUUGAACGCUGGCGGCAGGCCUAACACAUGCAAGUCGAACGCGUGGCGGACGGGUGAGUAAUGUCUGGGACACUCCCUGCUGGAGGGGGAUAACUUCUGGAAACGGUAGCUAAUACCGCAUCCCAUCGGAUGUGCCCAGAUGGGAUUAGCUAGUAGGUGGGGUAAAGGCUCACCUAGGCGACGAUCCCUAGCUGGUCUGAGAGGAUGACCAGCCACACUGGAACUGAGACACGGUCCAGACUCCUACGGGAGGCAGCAGUGGGGAAUAUUGCACAAUGGGCGCAAGCCUGAUGCAGCCAUGCCGCGUGUAUGAAGAAGGCCUUCGGGUUGUAAAGUACUUUCAGCGGGGAGGCGUUACCCGCAGAAGAAGCACCGGCUAACUCCGUGCCAGCAGCCGCGGUAAUUC
rnacentral:rRNA from 1 species